rnacentral:rRNA from 1 species
CGGACGGGUGAGUAAUGUCUGGGGAACUGCCUGAUGGCGGGGGAUAACUACUGGAAACGGUAGCUAAUACCGCAUAAUGUCUGCGGACCAAAGCGGGGGACCUCCGGGCCUCGCGCCAUCAGAUGAACCCAUAUGGGAUUAGCUUGUAGGUAAGGUAACGGCUUACCUAGGCGACGAUCCCUAGCUGGUCUGAGAGGAUGAUCAGCCACACUGGGACUGAGACACGGCCCAG